GAGUUUGAUCGUGGCUCAGAUUGAACGCUGGCGGCAUGCCUUACACAUGCAAGUCGAACGGCAGCACGGGAGCUUGCUCCUGGUGGCGAGUGGCGAACGGGUGAGUAAUGCAUCGGAACGUAUCCUGGAGUGGGGGGAUAACGUAGCGAAAGUUACGCUAAUACCGCAUAUUCUGUGAGCAGGAAAGCGGGGGACCUUCGGGCCUCGCGCUCUUGGAGCGGCCGAUGUCGGAUUAGCUAGUUGGUGAGGUAAAGGCUCACCAAGGCGACGAUCCGUAGCAGGUCUGAGAGGAUGAUCUGCCACACUGGAACUGAGACACGGUCCAGACUCCUACGGGAGGCAGCAGUGGGGAAUUUUGGACAAUGGGGGCAACCCUGAUCCAGCCAUGCCGCGUGAGUGAAGAAGGCCU
rnacentral:rRNA from 2 species